GAGGGCAGCAAAGAAAGCAAGCAAGAAAGAAGCCGAUUCCACUGGUGGUUAAGGUUUUGGAUUAAAGGAGAGAGGUUGCAACUCCCUGGGCCAAGCAGUAGCGCAGCAAGUUCAGCACCAAUGGCAGCCAUAUGCAAUAUAAGGCAAAGCAGAUAAAAAGCUUAAUUUUUUUUAAGAAGGUAAAGGCAAUGACUGAAAAGUGAGGAGGUUCAGAGGUGUACAGAUAAGGAUGAGGGCUGAAAAGAGGAGCAGGAAGGUAAGAUCACUUGCACCAAUAAUAGGGAUCACCGUGAAUUAAAAGAUGAGUAGUGAUCAUGUCAGUUAAAUGCUCAUUAUGUUUCUUAG